rnacentral:rRNA from 1 species
GACGAACGCUGGCGGCGUGCUUAACACAUGCAAGUCGAACGGAAAGGCCCUGCUUUUGUCGGGUGCUCGAGUGGCGACCGGGUGAGUAACACGUGAGUAACCUGCCCUUGACUUUGGGAUAACUUCAGGUAACUGGGGCUAAUACCGGAUAGGAGCUCAUGCUGCAUGGUGGGGGAUGGUAAGUUUCGGCGGUUGGGGAUGGACUCGCGGCUUACCAGCUUGUUGGUGGGGUAGUGGCUUACCAAGGCUUUGACGGGUAGCCGGCCUGAGAGCGUGACCGGCCACAAUGGUACUGAGAGACGGCCCAGACUCCAACGGGGGGCAGCAGUGGGGAAUAUUACACAAUAGGGGGGAGCCUGAGGCGGCAACGUCGCGUGCGGAAAGACGGCCUUCGGGUUAUGAACCGCUUUAGCCUGUGACGAAGCGUGAGUGACGGUAUUGGGCAAGGAAGGACCGGCUAACUACGUG